rnacentral:rRNA from 1 species
AGAGUUUGAUCCUGGCUCAGGACGAACGCUGGCGGCACGCUUAACACAUGCAAGUCGAACGGGGUCCAUGGAGCUUGCUCCGGAAGACCUAGUGGCGAACGGGUGCGUAACACGUGAGAAACCUGCCCUGAACUUGGGAAUAACAGUCGGAAACGACUGCUAAUACCGAAUACCUUCACGACGUCGCAUGGCGAUGUGAAGAAAGCCUUGUGCGGUUCAGGAGGGUCUCGCGACCUAUCAGCUAGUUGGUGAGGUAACGGCUCACCAAGGCAUCGACGGGUAGCUGGUCUGAGAGGAUGAUCAGCCACACUGGAACUGAGACACGGUCCAGACUCCUACGGGAGGCAGCAGUGGGGAAUAUUGCACAAUGGGCGCAAGCCUGAUGCAGCGAUGCCGCGUGCGGGAUGAAGGCCCUAGGGUUGUAAACCGCUUUCAGUAGGGAAGAAAAUGACGGUACCUAUAGAAGAAGGUGCGGCCAACUACGUGCCAGCAGCCGCGGUGACACGUAGGCACCAAGCGUUGUCCGGAUUUAUUGGGCGUAAAGAGCUCGUAGGCGGUUCGGUAAGUCGGGUGUGAAAACUCUGGGCUCAACCCAGAGACGCCACCCGAUACUGCUGUGACUUGAGUACGGUAGGGGAGUGGGGAAUUCCUGGUGUAGCGGUGAAAUGCGCAGAUAUCAGGAGGAACACCAGUGGCGAAGGCGCCACUCUGGGCCGUAACUGACGCUGAGGAGCGAAAGCAUGGGUAGCAAACAGGAUUAGAUACCCU